rnacentral:rRNA from 1 species
AUGGCAUCGGCGUCGCUGCCGGACGACCUUGCCCUUGAAGUUCUCGAACGUGUCAAAGACGUAGCCACCCUCUUCCGCUGCGCAACGGCAUGCAAGGGUUGGUGCCGCCUUGUCGUCGCCAACCCCACCUUCCUUCGCCGCUGCUUGCCGGAGGACGCAUGUUAUCCCUUUGUUGGCUUCUUUACGCAGCAACGGUGCCGCGACGGCGUCCCCUUCAUUCCAGGGCCGCGCCCUGUUCUGGACCCGAGUCGCCGUUUCCUUGGCUCCCUCGUCCCUAACAUCAACGACAAGUUUAACCAGCCGGUGCCGCUCACCUCACGCCAGGGCCUCCUCCUCGUGCGCCUCAACCGGUAUCAGGGUUGCGGCCUCCUUGGCGUGUGCAACCUGAUCACCGGCACAUUCGACGUGCUCCCCCCUCUAGAGCAUGCAUGGAAUUCCGACAACAACCACCUGGCUGGCUAUGCUAUACUGACGGCUAGAGACUGUUCGAGCUCGGGGGGCCACCCCGACGAGCAGCAGUUGCCCUUUUUCAAGGUGAUGAUCCUGACCAUCGAUGUGAACAUGAUGCAGUACAAUCUCCAAACAAUUUCAUCGGCCAAUGAGCCGGGAUGGAAAAUAUCCUUCGGGAGUCUAAAGAACAAGAGCCCGAGCAUCUACAUGGUGCUUAGGCAGCACAACGCGGUGGUGUGCCGCGGAAUGGCGCAUUGGCUCUUUUGGAGCACAUCGGGCUUGUAUACGCUAGAUGUAGACGCCCGGACUGAUCACGUGUCCUUUACAAACUUGUUGGACAUGGGACGGAUCGAUAACUACUUUGGCCCCCCUACUUACGAUGCACCCUACCUCGCUGUCAACGGGAAGGGGAGGCUCAUGUUGGUCUACUUGAACAAGGGAGGUUACCGGUUGGAGAUAUGCACAUCUCACAACAACGGGAGGUGGCACCAUGCCUUGGCGCGCAAGCUAAAACAACCGAACCAGAAGAAAAAUGAGAAGAAGACUCAAGGAAAAGUUCUUUACACUUGCUUGGGAGAGAAGAACGGAACGUUGAUCAUCAAGGACAACCAUCAUGAUGCCUACGUUAUUCAUAUCAAUACGGGGGUGGUGCAAGAGGUGAUAGAUUCACCACACACUCGCCGCCUCAACCGGGAAAAGACUGUGCCCUUUGAAAUGGAUUGGCCGGCCUUCUUUGUUUCUCAGCUUGCUGUGCUU